GAGAGUCGGGGAUCAGUCCUGCAAGCUACGGAGUCACUACAGGGAGAGGUCUCAUCACUAGAAAUAGCUGAGGAACCUGCAGCCUCAACCCGGGUUAAGGAGGACGUGCCGUUCCUGGGGAGCCUUAGUCGGGGCUCUCCAGCUUCCUCCAUUUUCUGACCGGCUCCAGGAAUAGAACCAAAAGAUGCUGAACAAGGAAGCAGCGCGGCACCAAGAAAAGCAGAAGUUGGGGCCUUGGAGGCGUGAUUCUCCCCUCGGGUCCAGCUAGGGCCUGGUGCUGCUGCAAGUGCCACCUGUGCUGGGGAAGGGACCAUGUGGCUGCCUUGGGCUCUGUUGCUUCUCUGGGUCCCAGGCUGUUUUGCUCUGAGCGGCCCCAGCACCGUGGCGGGCCCCGUGGGGGGAUCCCUGAGCGUGCAGUGUCGCUAUGAACAGGAACACGAGACUCUCAAUAAAUAUUGGUGCAGACCACCACAGAUUCUCCGAUGUAACAAGAUUGUGGAGACCAAAGGGCCAGCAGGAACAAGGAAAGGCCGAGUGUCCAUCAGGGACAGUCCUGCAAACCUCAGCUUCACAGUGACCCUGGAGAAUCUCACAGAGGAGGACGCAGGCACCUACUGGUGUGGGGUGGAUACGCCGUGGCUCCGAGACUUUCACGAUCCCUAUUUCCAGGUUGAGGUGUCCGUGUUCCCAGCAUCAACGUCAAUGACACCUACGAGUGUCACUGCGGCCAAGACCUCAACAACCACAACUGCAUUUCCACCUGUAUCAUCCACUAUGCUGUUUGCAGUGAGUGCCACCCACGGUGCCAGCAUCCAGAAGGAAAAUGAGGCGGUCGUGAACUCACAGUUCCCGCUGCUCCUCUCCCUGUUGGUGUUGUUGCUGCUUCUGUUGAUAGGGGCCUCCCUGCUAGCCUGGAGGAUGUUUCAGAAACGGAUCAAAGCUGGUGACCAUUCAGAGCUGUCCCAGAACCCCAAGCAGGUAAGGGGGGCUUCAGCAGGAGGUGUAUCAGGUGGCUGGGCAGAGGGUACAGAGGAUGCUGGGGAGUUGGACAGUCCCAUCGGCCAAUGGAGGAUGGAUGGAGUGGGGAGCUCACCCAGAGCAGGACGAACAAUGCUGGGAGAUGUGGUCACUGGGUCUUGUUCUGAGACCUGGCCAGCCUGUCCCCUCCCCACCAGGGCAAAUGGAAUGAAGGGAGGCCCUCCCAGCCAAGCUGACCUGGGGAACAUUCAACUACUGGAUGGAGUGGGAUGGAGGCAGGAAGGGGAAGGUGGGGGCUGAGGUGCUCAGAGCAUAGAGGAAGGAGAGACACAUGCAGAAAUGCAGGGACAGAGGCUGCAGGGCUCUGUGGACACCCACCUGGGACCUCCUGCCCUCCCAGGCUGCCAAGCAGAGUGAGCUGCACUACACAAAUCUGGAGCUGCUGAUGUGGCCUCUGCAGGAAAAGCCAGCACCACCAAGGGAGGUGGAGGUGGAAUACAGCACCGUGGCCGCCCCCAGGGAAGAACUUCACUAUGCCUCCGUGGUGUUUGAUUCUAACACCAAUAGGAUAGCUGCUCAGAGGCCCCGGGAGGAGGAACCAGGUUCAGAUUACAGUGUGAUAAGGAAGACAUAGGCCUUUGUCCUGCCUCGCCAUCACCAUCGGAGCUCUCAUGGGCCCCAGGAAGUCCAGGGACGGCUCCCUUAUCCCUGGCCCACGUCCUCCUCAGCCUGCCCUUGACGACAGUGACCAACAGACAGGCAGCUGGGUUUCCCAGGCCGUCCCUCUGUUUCCAUCAGCUCGAUUGGCUUCCCUGAGGGCCAGCAGGGCUGGGGGCUCCGGGGAGCAGCAGGAAGCACUCCCAGCCACCAGCACAUGUCGCCUCUUUCCCCUUUGCCCCUGCUUCAUCCCAGCUCUGUGUGUGGAGGACAAAGCUUCUUCCUGCGUGGCUCCAGGAAAAGAUGUGGCUCACGUAGGUGGCACCUGCCAAUAGCUUUGUCAAUCACAGCCCCAUAGGAACAUCUGGAAUUGCUUGGGAGUUGGGGAGAACUAUCAAGAAGAGUGAAGAGAGUGCCAAAGCAGAGAUCUGUUCACAUGGGGGCCAUGGUGGGGGGACCCACUAAAGAUCAAGAUCAAAGAUCCUCCCCAUCUCACAGACAAGGAAACUGAGGCCAGAGGGAGGAGAGAAUUGCUCAUGGCUGCAGAACUGGUGGCAAGUUUCUCUGGACUCUUAGGUUUAUUUUUAAUAUGAAAUAUAAAAACAGUUUCAAAUAUCUUAUUAAGGGAGAAGUAAAAAGUUAUUUAAACAAUGA